CACACACACACACUCACACACACACACGCUGUGAAUUAACUAGAAGACACUACACUCUGGUCGAAAGCUGAGAGAGAGUUCGCGCGCUCACCGAGAUAGCUUCCGAAUGUUUUUUGAUGAGAGAUCUUCUGAACCUGAACCUGAAGUCAGCAGUGACCGGACCGAGAGCCUGGUGUGGCCCGCCGUGGCAUCUUUGGACCCGUCAGCAUCCCAGAUAAGAUCACACACAUCAUGAACUUAUUUAUUUUGAAGUUAUUUA